AUGACUCGAUAUCUGCCACCUCCUCCUCCACUACGCCUCGUGGAGUCCCUUGGUGACGUCGGGGAACUUGUCUACGUGAUUGGCCGGGUGUCCGGCCUUGCGUUCAUGUUUAUCCGCCAGCCUCCCGACGCUCUGUCCGAGCCUCCAGGCGGGAACCGGACGGUUCACUGCACCGUCGACGGCAGCAGCAUUUAUCGGUUGUUCUGGUACAGACAGUACCCGGGAAAGGAGCCGCAGAACCUGUUUCACUCGGUGGUUGCUCCGAGCGUGGCGCCGGGCACAGAGGUGGACGGGUUUACCGCCAGCCGGCCGAACAACAACGAGUUCACUCUGAGCGCAGGCCGCCUGAAGCUGAACCACUCGGCCACAUAUUUCUGCGCCUGGAGUCUGCACGGCGACUGA